GACUGGGGCGGUCGCCUCCUAAAGAGUAACGGAGGCUCCCAAAGGUACCCUCAGCACGGUUGGCAAUCGUGCGUAGAGUGUAAAAGCAUAAGGGUGCUUGACUGCGAGACAUACAGGUCGAGCAGGCACGAAAGUGGGGUUUAGUGAUCCGGUGGCACCGCAUGGAAGGGCCAUCGCUCAAAGGAUAAAAGGUACUCCGGGGAUAACAGGCUUAUCUCCCCCAAGAGUUCAUAUCGAAGGGGAGGUUUGGCACCUCGAUGU
rnacentral:rRNA from 11 species